GACGAAGGUGGCGAGCGUUGUUCGGAAUCACUGGGCAUAAAGCGCACGUAGGCGGCGACGUAAGUUGGGUGUGAAAUCCCUCGGCCUAACCGAGGAACUGCGCCCAGUACUGCGUUGCUUGAGGAUCCAAGGGGUGCAUGGAAUUCCCGGUGGAGCGGUGAAAUGCGUUGAUAUCGGGAGGAACUCCGGCGGCGAAAGCGGUGCACUGGUGGAUUUCUGACGCUGAGGUGCGAAAGCCAGGGGAGCAAACGGG
rnacentral:rRNA from 1 species